rnacentral:rRNA from 1 species
AUGAACGCUGGCGGCGUGCCUAAUACAUGCAAGUCGAGCGAACAGAUGAGGAGCUUGCUCCUCUGACGUUAGCGGCGGACGGGUGAGUAACACGUGGAUAACCUACCUAUAAGACUGGGAUAACUUCGGGAAACCGGAGCUAAUACCGGAUAAUAUAUUGAACCGCAUGGUUCAAUAGUGAAAGACGGUUUUGCUGUCACUUAUAGAUGGAUCCGCGCCGCAUUAGCUAGUUGGUAAGGUAACGGCUUACCAAGGCAACGAUGCGUAGCCGACCUGAGAGGGUGAUCGGCCACACUGGAACUGAGACACGGUCCAGACUCCUACGGGAGGCAGCAGUAGGGAAUCUUCCGCAAUGGGCGAAAGCCUGACGGAGCAACGCCGCGUGAGGGAUGAAGGUCUUCGGAUCUUAAAACUCUGUUAUUAGGGAAGAACAAAUGUGUAAGUAACUAUGCACGUCUUGACGGUACCUAAUCAGAAAGCCACGGCUAACUACGUG